GGAGAUACUUGAGCCACAAGGACUGGAUUCUCUGUGGUAACAAUUGUGAACUUUUCCAGCAGCAGUUGGAGUUCUGGGGCAGUGUAUUUUUCUGUGCAGCCCACACACAGCUCAGUGUGUUCCUUUUGUAAACAGGUUGGAUUGUCAGCUUAAAGCAUUUUGUCAUUAAAAUGAAAGAAUCUGAACUGCCUUUGGGUCUACUAAAGAUCUUAACAUUUACCCCAGAAUGAACUUGUUUUAACGUAAUAAACCUUGGGCGCCAAUCCUGAUGCCUCCAAUGACAUCAGUGUGUGUGGACUGGAGCUUUGAAUUCAGCAGGCAAAAUGGGGAUCUCUGAAGAAAAAGUCGGGAGAGUGACUUUAGUGGAGCAGAAGUCGAAGGUGGUGUUAGGGCGGUUUCCGCUCCGGCACUCCCCCUCCUCUCUCCACCCCCUCACCCCACUCCCUUGCUUUUUCUUUUCAAAUCAAGUAAAAACAAACAUCUAAAAAUGUUUGACUAGAUGAGGAGACUCAGGAGAAAUGCUUGCUGAACACAUGCUGUGUUUGCCUAUCAUAUCUUCCUUAUAUUUUAAUACAAUUCAGUAAAAACAGCAAUAACUCAGUGCUUCCUUAAUGUUCAGCACAAAUGCCUUGGUUGUUAUAAAAAAAUGGUUGCCUGAGACACAGCCCCAGUCACCGGGAUGGCCGAGUGGUUAAGGCGUUGGACUUAAGAUCCAAUGGGCUAGUGCCCGCGUGGGUUCGAACCCCACUCUCGGUAGGCGAAGUUUUUAUCUCCAGACUCCUUUAAUACCGGCAUUUAAAAAGUACUCGAAGGUGACUUCAUUGUUUUUCUACCCCUUUGCAUAAACACUACUGUUUUCUUGUCUUCAAAUCUAAGGAAAUUGCCUCAAUAGGCAGUAGUGUGUGAAUGGUUUUCUACCACAACCUAUUAGAUGGAAACACCGCUCACAUCCAUAGCUCACAUCCAUGGUCUGUUCCAGGACUUUCAAUUCCACCAGGAAUUGAACCUGUGAGGAUAUUUGAUCCCAAGGUCACAGCUUUGUUUCUUAGUGCCCAGUAUAGUGCCUGGUCUAUAGUAAAUAUGUCUUGAAGAUUGUUCCAGAUGCAGAAUUGGAAAGUGUGGAGACUGAAUAAUAACAAGAGCCAACUUGUAAAAAAAUUUACUACAUGCAAGGCACAUUCAGAUACUAGGGGACAAGUUACAGAGCCUGAAUCAUUCUGGAAGAAAUAUGACUUGACGAAGAAAUGUGGCUGGACUGAGAGAUACAGAGUCUCCCUGUGUCACCCUGACUGGAGUGCAGUGGCACGA